UNGGCCUGGUGUAGAUGAAAACUCUGCUG
rnacentral:piRNA from 1 species